rnacentral:rRNA from 1 species
GACGAACGCUGGCGGCGCGCCUAACACAUGCAAGUCGAACGGGGUCUUUUUGGAGCUUGCUUUGGGAAGACCUAGUGGCGGACGGGUGAGUAACACGUGAGCAACCUGCCGAGGAGUGGGGGAUAACGUCUGGAAACGGACGCUAAUACCGCAUAAUAUCCAGAAGUGGCAUCACUUUUGGAUCAAAGGAGCAAUCCGCUCUUCGAUGGGCUCGCGCCCGAUUAGAUAGUUGGUGAGGUAAUGGCUCACCAAGUCGACGAUCGGUAGCCGGACUGAGAGGAAGGUCCCCCACACUGGUACUGAGACACGGACCAGACUCCUACGGGAGGCAGCAGUGAGGAAUAUUGGUCAAUGGACGAGAGUCUGAACCAGCCAAGUCGCGUGAAGGAUGACUGCCCUAUGGGUUGUAAACUUCUUUUAUGUGGGAAUAAAAAAGGGAACGUGUUCCCUAUUGCAUGUACCACUAUGAAUAAGCAUCGGCUAACUCCGUGCCAGCCGCCGCCGUAACAC